rnacentral:siRNA from 1 species
AACAAGUCCUUUAAAAUGUAAACA